rnacentral:lncRNA from 1 species
CUAGAUAUGCAAAAACUAAUAUCAAGAUAUUUAGGUUUGAGAAGUAGAAGACAUCAAUACAUAACAAGUAAAAAUUUGCUAUUUAACAACAUCAAUCUAUAAUCAAGUAGCAUGAAUCAAAAUCUUGAUACUAACUUAUUCAUAAAAGAAUACAAGUUCUGCUGUAGUAUCAGACCAACAAAUGCAAUUCAUAUUCUUUAACACUA